GUACUGAUGAAGAAUCGCAAACUAGGACGAAACAGCUGUCCUGUAC
rfam:Trichobilharzia regenti genome assembly, scaffold: TRE_scaffold0002201